rnacentral:rRNA from 1 species
AGUGAACGCUGGCGGUAGGCCUAACACAUGCAAGUCGAACGGCAGCACAGUAAGAGCUUGCUCUUACGGGUGGCGAGUGGCGGACGGGUGAGGAAUACAUCGGAAUCUACUUUUUCGUGGGGGAUAACGUAGGGAAACUUACGCUAAUACCGCAUACGACCUACGGGUGAAAGCAGGGGAUAUUCGGACCUUGCGCGAUUGAAUGAGCCGAUGUCGGAUUAGCUAGUUGGCGGGGUAAAGGCCCACCAAGGCGACGAUCCGUAGCUGGUCUGAGAGGAUGAUCAGCCACACUGGGACUGAGACACGGUCCAGACUCCUACGGGAGGCAGCAGUGGGGAAUAUUGGACAAUGGGCGCAAGCCUGAUCCAGCCAUACCGCGUGGGUGAAGAAGGCCUUCGGGUUGUAAAGCCCUUUUGUUGGGAAAGAAAAGCAGCAGGUUAAUACCCCGCUGUUCUGACGGUACCCAAAGAAUAAGCACCGGCUAACUUCGU